rnacentral:rRNA from 1 species
UACAGAGGUCUCAAGCGUUGUUCGGAUUCAUUGGGCGUAAAGGGUGCGUAGGCGGCGCGGUAAGUCGGGUGUGAAAUCUUGGAGCUUAACUCCGAAACUGCAUUCGAUACUGCCGUGCUUGAGGACUGGAGAGGAGACUGGAAUUUACGGUGUAGCGGUGAAAUGCGUAGAUAUCGUAAGGAAGACCAGUGGCGAAGGCGGCAUCCUGGACCAUGACUGACGCUGAGGAGCGAAAGCCAGGGGAGCAAACGGG